UACAGAGGUCCCGAGCGUUGUUCGGAAUUACUGGGCGUAAAGCGCACGUAGGCGGAUGUGUCAGUCAGGGGUGAAAUCCCGGGGCUCAACCUCGGAACUGCCUUUGAUACAGCACGUCUUGAGUCCGAUAGAGGGGGAUGGAAUUCCGCGUGUAGCAGUGAAAUGCGUAGAUAUGCGGAGGAACACCGAUGGCGAAGGCAAUCCCCUGGGCCUGCACUGACGCUCAUGCACGAAAGCGUGGGGAGCAAACAGG
rnacentral:rRNA from 1 species